rnacentral:lncRNA from 1 species
GGCUAUCUCCCAAGUUUCUUAAGAACUGUAAGAUAAUCCAUAAAAUAUUUUUCUGGAUGAGUUAAAAUGCUGCUUUUGAAGUUUAAACUGCAGUUUUUAAUUUGAAUUUAGGCUCCUAAAAUGAGGCGGAAGUCUCUUUUUCAUGUGUGUUGAGAUCAUCGACCUCAUAAAGUCGGGACCACUGUGUGGUAUAGAUGCAAAAGCGCGGUGUAAGGACAAGAAGAUAGCAGGAAUGUGGAGAGGAACAGGAGACCCAGGUACAGCCUUGUGGAGAGCCACGUCACACACGGAGAGACCUCGGCAUUAUGCAGCAAGGCUGCGGAAUGAGUCGGGGAAGAGGAAGCCAUUUGUACCAAAACUAAGCGCAAGUCUGCUGGCGCACACAUUGGGGAGUGAAGACCCAAAAUGAAGGCAGGUAUUUUAUCCUCGGGAGCAUAAACAACUGGUUAAAAGUAAGCUGGAGAAGCCAGAAGGGAUGCCAGAGGCUGGGUGGUUAGAUAGGGGUCAGUUUGUGGGGAAGACAGAGGAAAACGAGAAGGUCCACUUUCGCCUCCCGCGAACUCUUCGUUCCGCUCUGUGACUACGAAUGAACGGUCGGUCCACUCAUCGCCUCUCACCUACCUAAGGACGAUUCUUCAGAAACUCUUCCUUCCUGCGUCAAACUCCCGAUCUCCCCGCUGCAGUGUGCGUUGCAGCAGCAGGAGUGCGCUGUCCCAUAGCGCUCUCUCCUGCCAGUGGUCGUCCUCCGUCCCUGGCCCGUUCCUCUUCGCCACUUCCUGGCAUGUGGUGUUAAAAAGAAGCUUUGCGUCCUCCCACUAACCCUCCCACUGUUCGAGUGUGGCUGUAGCCAAUGAGAUGUCACCCCACUGUUAAAUUAAAAUCUAUUUUCAGUUCCUGUCUUAUUUAAUCAAUCAGCAGCACAGCACUAUCCAUAUUAAAAACACUGUUUGGUGGGGGUACAGUUGUUCUCGGUCUGUCUGUCUUAUCUGUGAUUCGUUCUUGCCUUCUUCUGUUGGCUCCCUCUGACCCACAAGGAGUGAUGGAAAAAUAAGGGGUG